CAUAAUUAUUUGGUGCGCUCUGUUCACGGAUCUUGCCUCCUCCCUUCUUUAUUACAACUUGUUGUCCCCUACUAUUUAACCACCCGACCGCUCUCUGCUCUUCCUCUACAUACACACAAGUCACAACCUCAAAAUCCACACAAUAAUCUUACAACUUUAAUCUCAUCUAAAUGGCUUCCUGGGUACGAGCAAUCACUACUCCCUUCAGGAAAGCUCGCACGCUGUUCAAUCAUCAGCCCAGAGACAAGAACUCCCAGCAACAACCUGGCGAAUAUGAGAGUAGAUUAACAGCAGAUUUGCAUGGUGAAGUUAUGGCUUGUGGAUAUGAAGAUGUUCAUGUGAUGUGGUCAAUCUUGGAUAAGUCUCGGCCCAGAACCUUGCAGUGUUAGCCCUUCUUUCAAUCCUGACCAUUCCAUUUCGAUCAAUACAUGGUUCAGAUCAUUCUCGAUUUACCAACUAUCUCGAAUUUAGUUUUUUUUUUUUUUUCUUCAAAUAGUUUGUAGUGUUGUACAUGGAAUUCAUCAAUCUUGUUAAUGUGGUCGGAAGAAGGUGACGCCCAAAACAAGAAGAAAAUUGGUGGCAAUUACUUGAAAUUUUUUUGGGUUUUUUGGCCAUCAAUUUAGUCUUUUUUUUUUUCUUCCAAAAUUUAAUGUAAAUCCCAUGAUUAAUGCUUUAAAAUCAUGGUGAGAUUUAUAUAUAUCUAUGCUUUGCAUUUUAUAAUUCUAAAAUCAUAUACUUUUUGCGAUUUCUUCUUA